AGAAACACAACAAAACUUUGCUAAUUAUUAUCGUGCUUUACAUAAAUUAGAAGAAGUACUAGCUUUUAUAAAAUACAAAAAUGCGAGUGAUACACUCUUUUUUGAACACUUUAUAAUUGAACGAAUUAUUGUCAACUCGACCUCUCUAUUCGUUAACCGCCAUGCAAUUUCACCAUAAAUAUAACAAAUUUUGAAAAUAAAAUGUUAAAAGAAUGUAUUGAUAGUAUUUUUCUAAAAAAUAAAUAGACCAGAUAGGCAUAAUAUACCUGGUUGAAUCACAUUUGUAGGUGUUAAUCCUACAGAAGUAGCAACAAUAGGAGAUUCCAAAUGGUUAGUAGGGGCAUUUGAAGGUCCUAAAGAUCUUAUUAUUGUAACUUCAUUGUUGCUACUUGAACCUCCCUUAGGAUAAGAACUUGCAUGAGAGGUCAUUGGGAGAGGACUUGGCAAUGAUGAGAGAUGAGAUAGGUCAUUGUGAGAGGACUUGGCAAUUGAAUGUCCUAAAGUUCUUAUUAUUGUAACUUCAUUGUUGCUACUUGAACCUCCCCUUGGUUGAGUACUUGCAUGAGAGGUCAUUGGAAUAGGGCUUGGCAAUGGUGAAGGAUAGGGUUGGCUUAUAAUGAAAUUAUCCUUUUUGGAAGGAAUAGAGAUUUCUUGCUGCAUUUUAGUUCCAUUUCCAGCUAGUAACAUGAUUGCCUUGGCCUAGUCAUAGAAAAUAAAAAUCAUUAAUAUACAUAUAAAAGGGAUUCAAUGUUGUCGAUCGCAGAUUGCGGAAAAUAACAGUUUGUUCAAAUUCCACUACGCUAUUAAGAUAAGUUUAGGGUGAAAAAAG
rnacentral:lncRNA from 1 species